UAGUCUAGUGGUCAAGGCUAUGGAUCGCCAAUCCGGAGACGGCGGGUUCGAUUCCCGU
rnacentral:tRNA from 1 species